CCAGGAAUCGGCCCGUCCCCCUCCCUACCCACUGCAAAAAUAUUUGCGCAGGUGGAUGAUAAGAGAGGAGGCAGGUUUGUCUGAAGGGAGCAGAAGACUUUGGCCCCACAACGCCGGAGAGCAAAGUUCGGGGCCAGGAAUGGGAGGAGGAAGGGAGAGGUGGAUCUAAGCCACCCAGGACCUGAGAGGAGGAGGAGGCCUCGAUGAAGCAGUGGGAGCCAUCUUAGUUUCAGAAAGAUGUCCAGGGAGGCACAUCUCAGAGUGGGGAGGGCUGCAGCUGCCAGCCCGUGGGGACAACGGGGGGCUGGAUGGCCCCUCGGCCACCUCUGUUGGGCAACUGCCAGCGUUCCCGUUUAAAUCAUCCCUGUGUUCAGAACCAUGGAGGACUAGAAUCUUGCCUUCUGCUUUGGGGGACACCAGCUGCUCACUGGCGGAAAACCAGAAGCGACCAGUUCCAGUCCUGAGGGAGGGCUGGCACCCUGGGGGACUUCUGUCCGUCUCGGCAAGAUCGGUCUCCAGCCCAGCGCUCUGCAGAGGUGCUGGACUACGGCUCCCAUAAUCCCCUCCUGCACACGCGUGGUGCUUUACUUGCCGGGCGACGCACAUCAGUAAACAGACGAGGAGGAAGGGGUGCGGAGUCAGCUGGACUGGCUCGCCGUGGCCUUUCAGAUCCCUGUGCACUUAAAAUACCGGCAGUCGGACCCCCAGCGGAGCUCAGCCAAGGCGCCCAGACCCGUGACCGUGUUGUCUCUGCAGAUGGAGGGGGACAGGCUUGCCGUGCCUCUGGGCAUGGGCGAGCGCGUGGAGCGCAGCAGCAUCUCCUCCGCCGGCCCCCGAACCCAGGACGUCCUGGUGUACCUCGUCGACGACACGGUGGUGCGGCUAACCGUGGACAACCUGCCCUCGGCCACGGCCCACGAGCUGCACCGGAUUCUGCUGGCUACCUUGAGGCUGCCCGAAAGCGCUCUGGAGAUAUUCUCGCUGUGGCUGGCUUCCCCCUUCCUCGAAGUGCAGCUGAAGCCGAAACACCAGCCCUACAAGGUCUGCCGGCAAUGGCAGGAACUGCUCUUCCGAUUCACCAGCUGCUCCUCAGAUGAGAUACUCGAAGAUGAGCCUUCGCUACAGUUCCGAAGAAACAUCUUCUUCUCAAAAAGGAAGGAAAUGCAGAUCCAGGACGAGGACAUUCUGCGGCUCUUGUACGAGGAGGCCAAGUUCAACAUCCUGGAGGGGAGGUAUCCGUUCGACCUGGUGGACUGCGAGGCACUGGGGGCCCUGGUUUGCCGGGUGAACUUGGGCCCCUACGACCCAAACCUGCACACGGCCUUCUUCUUAAAGGAGCGGCUGGACUCCUUCCUGCCUGCCCACCUGUGCCGGAGAGGACACGGGCUGCUCGCGGCCCUGUGGAGGCGUGGGGGUGCCCGCCCCCCCGCCGACGAACAGGGCCUGCUGCGCGCCUUCCGGGGGGUGCCGGAGGAGGGCGCCUGCGAAGCCCCCCUGCCCCUGCCCAAGCUGUACCGCGCUUACCUGCAGAAGUGCCACGAACUGCCUUACUACGGAUGUGCCUUCUUCUCCGGGGAGAUAGAGAAGCCGGCGCAGGGCCUGCUGCACCGAGGCGGACGCAAGGCCGUGAUGGUCGCCAUCAGCCUGGAGGGCGUGUACAUCAUUGACAGCAAGGAGAAGCAUGUUUUGCUAGGCCUGCGCUUCCAGGAGCUGUCCUGGGAUCACACGUUCCCCAGUGAAGAGGAGCACAUCCUCUGGCUGGAGUUUGACGGGGAGAACGAAGGCAUCCCAGUCAACAAGUUGCUCAAGGUCUACUCUAAGCAGGCUGAACUGAUGAGCGGGCUGAUCGAAUUCUGCAUCGAGCUGAACGCGGCUGCCGAGGGGAUGGAGCACGACCCCGCUGCCGGUGCAGCCCCGUCCUCUGAGGCCCAGCAUCCCCCGUCUGACAGGCAGCGCCCCAAACUGCAGCGCCAGAACAGUGUCCUUCGCAGCCGCAUCCAACACCUUUCCACCAUUGACUACAUUGAGGACGGGAAGGACAUCAAGAGGGUGAAGCCGCGCCGGACAACCUCCUUCUUCGGCCGCCAGCUGUCCAAUGCUCCCACCUCCUACUCCGCAGUGCGGGCGGUAGAGAACCUGGAGCAGGGGUGACCCCCUUCCAGCCGCGGGCAUCGACGGGACCAGCCGACCUGAGCAGAAGGGGGCGUGUGCUGGGUUCCCCCCGGGUCUCCUCCACCGUCUCCCACCUGCCCUCCCGUUCGUCUCCAGUCUGCUGUGCUGUUGUUGUUCAGCCUGGCUCUUGCCCCCGGUGGGCUGCAGCUUGGAUGAGAGGAACGUGCCUCAUCACACGUCACUGGGAUCCCCCGGCGGAUCGUUUCUGGCGUGCACAGAAGGUGCUUCAGGGAUCUGCGCCGCUUCCCCUCCCUCGUCGCCCUGCCUCCAGGUGCUGGACUGCCCUUUCCCCAGAGCGGCCAAAUGCCCCUUCGUCUCCAGCCCAGCCUCUCCUCGCCAGCGUCUUCCUGGAGCCAAACCGCAUCCCAGGACCUGUGGAGGAAUCUUCCCCUGGCAGUGCCGGAAGGGGAAAAGCUGAGCCGCACCCCGUGGGGAAACCUGCCCCAGGCGCAGCCUCUCCCUUUGGUAUGCCCACCUCUUGCACUUAGAGCCUGUUUCGCAGGUCAGCUGCUUGUUGGCUCUAGCAAGCGAUUUUCCUGCCACCAAGGAAACAUAGUCUUCCUCACAUGCAGCUUAGUGACGAGGGACCAAGAGGGGAAAUGCUGUGAAUUUUGGGGUUUCUCAUUAAAAGAGAUAUUUUUUAAUAAAUGGUGGUGGGGAAAUAAAACUUUGCUUUGCUGCAGGAGCCUCCGGAAGGCUGUUUGGAGGCUGAGAGAAACGUUUGCCUGUGAAAGCACCGGGUUGCGCUUCCUGGACGCACCUCCGCGCAGCCCCUAAUGUUCGUAUUUUUCCUGUUCUGCUCCCUUGCGGCAGCCAGAGCCCGCCUAGAGGGCCUCUGUAAACAGGAUUCUCUGCUACAGUCAGAGAAAUCGGCAUCUCCCCUCCUCAACCUCCAUGAAAUGGGCUACUGGGAAAACUCCACAAGGAAUUCCUUGAGUUGAUUUGUUCUGCACUGGGAUAGGCUCUGCCAUAAGCAGGGGCAGUUUCUUAGCAUGCAUGUGCUAUGCUUCAGUUUUUGGCAGUUUGCUGACGUCCAAAGAGCUCUUCCUGAGCAGUGGGCGCCCUGUGAACCUAAGAAGGCACCGGCUCUUCUUUCUGGACCUGUAAUGCUGCCAACUGCCCCUUGUGCACUCUGUUUUUUCACGCCAACCCUCUCCUUCCACCCCCACAACCUGAAAAGCAUUGCUGGAGAUUUUUAAUCACGUCUUUCACAGUCGGGUCCAAACCUUUGCAUUCCCCUCUGGUGCUGGACCUCUGCACCCGGGACACUACUCGGACAAUGAUGCUGUCAAAAAACGAUGCACCGGAUUAACAAGCACCCCUUUCGUUGAGUUUGUCUCGAUUUCCAGAAAGUGCUCUCCCUGGGCCACCCCGAAGCAACACUUUCCAAAGUGCCUUUUCCUAAUCUCAGUGAAGCGGACUCUCAGCCACACUGCAGAGGGCAUUGCUCAUAGCAAUAAAGACCAUGAAUUUCA